UGUGGACGGCCAGUCAAAGUCCAACUUGACAGUGGCCAUGGCCCGUAGAGGGUGAUAGGCCCGUAAGGCGGCUGUCCCGCUGUGCUGACUUUUCCCUAGAGUCGGGUUGCUUGGGAGUGCAGCCCAAAGUGCGAGGUAAACUCCUCGUAAGGCUAAAUAUGACCCCGAGACCGAUAGCAAACAAGUACCGUGAGGGAAGAUUGAAAAGAACUUUGAAGAGAGAGUUCAAGAGUACGUGAAACUGUGUGGUGGUAAACGGAGGGGCUCUCGAAGUUUCUGAGGGGGACUCAACCUUGGUGGUGCUGGGCCUGGGUGUAUUUGAUCAGCAAUGACUUUGCACCUAGUCCCCAAUGCCUCCCGGACGCACUUUCUCCUCAGUUUACGGCAGGAACCGUUAGGAGUGGACCGAAGGCCUGGGGUGAAGUUGUCGGUUAUGCUGGCAGCCCCCGGUGUCCUGGCUUCGCACCUGACGGGUAUGUGAGCGGACUCGUAUAGCGAGCAAUUCUCUAU
rnacentral:rRNA from 1 species